GACGAACGCUGGCGGCGUGCUUAACACAUGCAAGUCGAACGGACGGGCCAGAAUCUUGCUUUUCGGAUGUUAGCGGCGGACGUGAGAGGAACAUGAGGAUAACCUACCUAUAAGACUGGUAUAACUUCGGGAAACCGGAGCUAAUACCGGAUAAUAUUUUGAAGCGCAGGGUUGAAAAGUGAAAGACGGUCUUGCUGGCACUUCUAGAUGUCUCCGGGCUGCAUGGGCUAGUUGUUAAGGUAACGGCUUACCAAGGCAACGAUGCAUAGCCGACCUGAGAGGGUGAUCGGCCACACUGGAAGCGAGCCAGCGUCCAGGCUCCUACGGGAGGCCCCAGUAGGGAAUGGUCGGCAAAGGGGGAAAUCCUGACGGAGCGACGGCGCGCGAGUGAUGAAGGGCCUCGGGUCGUAAAACUGUCUUAUUAGGGAAGAACACAUGUGUCAGUAACUGAGCACAUAUUGACGGUACCUGCUAAAAAAGCAACGGCUAACUACGUG
rnacentral:rRNA from 1 species